rnacentral:rRNA from 1 species
CAAAUUUUGAUCUGAAAUCAGGUAGGGCUACCCGCUGAACUUAAGCAUAUCAAUAAGCGGAGGAAAAGAAACUAACAAGGAUUCCCCUAGUAACGGCGAGUGAAGCGGGAAGAGCUCAAAUUUAAAAUCUGGUUUGCUUGCAAAUCCGAGUUGUAGUCUGAAGAAACGUUUUCCAUGAAAGCUGAGGCACAAGUCCUUUGGAACAGGGCAUCAUAGAGGGUGAGAAUCCCGUCCAUGGUCUCAAGCCUGUCAUUUUGUGAUACGUUUUCUAAGAGUCAGGUUGUUUGGGAAUGCAGCCUAAAAUGGGUGGUAAAUUUCAUCUAAAGCUAAAUAUUGGCGAGAGACCGAUAGCGAACAAGUACCGUGAGGGAAAGAUGAAAAGAACUUUGAAAAGAGAGUUAAAAAGUACGUGAAAUUGUUGAAAGGGAACCGUUUGAAGCCAGUCUUGCUUGCUUGUGAUCAGUCUUUGCUUCGGCUUGGAUGCACUCUCAGGUUAUGCAGGUCAACGUCAGUUUGAGAGGUGGGAAAAAAGCUUGAGGAAUGUGGCCUUCGGGUGUUAUAGCCUCUUGCUAAAUACCAUCUUUUGGACUGAGGCUCGCAGCAAAAAUGUGGGCAGGUUUGCGUUUGAGGUGAUACAUUAUUAAAACAGCUUGCUGACUUAGUUUUGUCUAUCUUCACUGUAAGCUUCGCUUCUAAUUUGCUUAGGUCGUUGACAUAAUGGCUUUAAAUGACCCGUCUUGAAACACGGACCAAGGAGUCUAACAUAUAUGCGAGUAUUUGGGUGGCAAACCCACAUGCGCAAUGAAAGUGAAAUUAGGUGCCAAACUCUCACGAGUGGCAGCAUCGGCCGGCUCUAACGUUUCUAACUGACGAGUCUGAGCAGAAGCAUACAUGUUGGGACCCGAAAGAUGGUGAACUAUGCCUGAAUAGGGUGAAGCCAGAGGAAACUCUGGUGGAGGCUCGUAGCGAUUCUGACGUGCAAAUCGAUCGUCAAAUUUGGGUAUAGGGGCGAAAGACUAAUCGAACC